rnacentral:rRNA from 1 species
AUUGAACGCUGGCGGCAGGCCUAACACAUGCAAGUCGAGCGAGCGGCGGACGGGUGAGUAAUGUCUGGGAACCUGCCUGAUGGAGGGGGAUAACUACUGGAAACGGUAGCUAAUACCGCAUACCAUCAGAUCUGCCCAGAGGGGAUUAGCUAGUUGGUGGGGUAAAGGCCUACCAAGGCGACGAUCCGUAACUGGACUGAGAGGCUGAUCAGUCACACUGGAACGGAGAAACGGUCCAGACUCCUACGGGAGGCAGCAGUGGGGAAUAUUGGACAAUGGGCGAAAGCCUGAUCCAGCCAUGCCGCGUGUGGGAAGAAGGUCUUCGGGUUGUAAAGCACUUUAAGUUGGGAGGCGUUACCAGCAGAAUAAGCACCGGCUAACUUCGUGCCAGCAGCCGCGGUAAUAC